rnacentral:rRNA from 1 species
CACGUAGGGCGCAAGCGUUGUCCGGAAUUAUUGGGCGUAAAGAGCUCGUAGGCGGUCUGUUGCGUCCGCUGUGAAAACCCGGGGCUUAACCCCUGGCUUGCAGUGGAUACGGACAGACUAGAGGUAGGUAGGGGAGAAUGGAAUUCCCGGUGUAGCGGUGAAAUGCGCAGAUAUCGGGAGGAACACCGGUGGCGAAGGCGGUUCUCUGGGCCUUACCUGACGCUGAGGCGCGACAGCGUGGGGAGCAAACAGG